rnacentral:lncRNA from 1 species
AUAAUUCAUGAUUAAUUCAUGAAUAAUUCUACUACUAUCGGAAGUAUAGAGAAUUCGGUGCUUUCGACUUUUUGGCCCUUAAAUCAAACUAUUUGAUCAUUUCUAAUUUUUGGAUUAAUAUUAUUAUCCUGUAAGGACCACUCAAUUCUGGGGGAACCACAAUCAUCCUAACCAUUCAAUUCUUGAUUCAAGGGCCAAAAAGUCGGAAGCACAAAGUGCUCUAUAUUUUCGAUAGCAUAGUAGCUCUACACCUUUUGCAGUAUUUUAUACUAUUUGUCGUUAAAAAGAUUCAAAUGAUAGAAAAAGGGGUUUAGUUCAUUUUAUUUUCAAUGCUCCUACUUAAUUACUUCUAGGUUGUCCGAUGGGAUUCAAAUUCAAAAAUUUAUAAUAUAAUACGAGAAUAAAACAUUCAAUUAUUCAAAAAAAUUAAACUUUAUAAGACAACCGUACUUUUAAUAUUUAUAUUCAGCAAUUUAAUUCCUUAAUUACCUAGCUAAAUCUUAU